UGGGAAGCUCCAAAAAGUGCCCUAGUGAC
rnacentral:piRNA from 1 species